GUAGUGUGGAGCGCAGGGAGAGAGCCGCACAUGCGCAGUAGCCGGCCGGGUGUCUCAAUGUUGGGGGGAGGUGUGUGGAUCGCUCUGUGUGUUCUGGUUCUCAUCGCUGCGAUCACCUUCCACCAGGAGCACUCCGACCCCGGGGACCUACCCAGGAUGGCCGCCGACAUCAAGACGCUGAGAGAGGAAUACAAAGAGAUGAACCGAUCCGUCUUCGUCCUGGGUGCGUCCGGGGAGACGGGGAAGGAGCUGCUCAAGGAGAUUGCGCAGAGCCGCCUGUUCAGCAAAAUCACGCUGAUUGGACGCCGCAAGAUGGACUACGAAGACGAGGCGUAUAAGGAUGUGGUCCAGGAGGUGGUGGAUUUUGAGAAGUUGGAUGAUUACGCUGCAGCCUUCCAGGGACAUGACGUGGGGUUCUGCUGUCUGGGGACCACGAAAGCCAAAUCUGGAGAGGCCGGCUUCAUCCGGGUGGAUCACGAUUACGUGGUGAAGUCCGCGCAGCUGGCGAAGUCAGGGGGCUGCAAACACUUCAAUCUGGAAUCUUCGAAGGGAGCCAACAAAGGGAGCAGCUUCCUCUACCUCCGGGUGAAGGGAGAGGUUGAAGCUGAAGUAGAAGAAAUGGGAUUUGAACGAUACACCAUCUUCAGACCGGCCGUGCUCCUCUGUGACCGGCAAGAGUCGCGCCCAGCUGAGUGGUUCGCGAGGAAGAUGAUGGUCCCCAUCGCCUACUUGUUUCCUACCGCCCACUCUGUGCCCAUCACCACCCUGGUGAAAGCCAUGCUGAAUAACGCCGUCAUCCCGAGCGAGAAGAAGGCGGAGCUUCUGGAAAACAAAGCCAUUCACAACCUGGGGAAACUGGGGGAGGAGCAGAGCUAGAGGUCACCACCGAGGGAGGGAUUGUGGAGCGAUCAACGGCCGCCACCCACACUGAGGCAUUAUGGGUACUUGAGUGUAAUAACUAUCGCUGCACCAAAGGGAUUCUGAAGUUUGGCUGAGGGGUUAUGGGUACAAGUCUAGUCAGGGUGACAUUUUGGGAUUAUGGCCACACGUCGUGCUCUGGUGUGGACACCCUUUUAUACAAGCUCCGCCCCCUUGUGGCAUGCGCACGCGCUUAUGUUGGUAAGCACCAUUGAUAAAACGUAUUAUUAGGCAGCUUGCUUCUUUUAAAUUUCACUCGCCUAGGGACAAGGGAAAAUAUGUGGCCUCAUGAUUGAACUGUAGUGAGUCUUCUGACUCCUCUACAUUACUUCUGCUUUUAUUUGCCAAGUUUGGCCCACAGAUGCCAAGGGGUGAAAAAAUAUUAUUGUUUUUAAAUGCUGUGGCUUUAGUGCUACCCAGUGCCGUGCCCAGACCACGUUGCAGGGAUGGGCAGGGUGGGGCCCAUCCUGUCAGUGGUGCUAAGGGAUUUUUUUUUUAAAGGGGAAGCACACUCUAAAACAAGAAGCAUUUAUUAUUUUUGCCCCCCUGACUUACCUAAUCUCCCCCCCCCCCCUACACAUGCCUACUUGCCUCCAUCCAACAUUGAGAGCCACAAGUCUUCACACCCCUGGCCAACCCCUACGCGUUACGUCCUCAUAGACUUCUGUGGGACUGUAUUCGAUUGUCUUUGGCCUUGGGGCAGCCCCAGAGAAGUCUACAGGCAAUCGCCUAAGGACAAAGGGAAAGAGGUGGCCUCAUGAUUGAACUGUAGUGAGUCUUCUCUACAUUACUUUUAUUUGCCAAGUUUCCCCUACGCGUUACGUCCUCAUAGACUUCUAUGGCACUGUAUUGGCCUUGGAACAGCCCCAGAAAAGUCUACAGGCACUCGCCUAAGGGCAAAGGGAAAGAGGUGGCCUCAUGAUUGAACUGUAGUGAGUCUUCUCUACAUUACUUUUAUUUGCCAAGUUUUCCUUACGCGUUACGUC